GGAAAGAUGGCAGAGUGGGCGAUUGCAUCGGUCUUGAAAACCGAAGGUCUGAAAGGACUCGGGGGUUCGAAUCCCUCUCUUUCCG
rnacentral:tRNA from 1 species